rnacentral:rRNA from 1 species
GAUGAACGCUAGCGGCAGGCCUAAUACAUGCAAGCCGGACGGGAUUGUGGAGCUUGCUUCACAUGAGAGUGGCGCACGGGUGCGUAACACGUAUGUAACCUACCUUGUUCAGGGGGAUAGCCUCUCGAAAGAGAGAUUAAGACCGCAUAAAAUCACAUACUGGCAUCAGUAAAUGAUCAAAUAUUUAUAGGAACAAGAUGGGCAUGCGGAACAUUAGCUAGUUGGUGAGGUAACGGCUCACCAAGGCUACGAUGUUUAGGGGAUCUGAGAGGAUGGCCCCCCACACUGGUACUGAGACACGGACCAGACUCCUACGGGAGGCAGCAGUAAGGAAUAUUGGUCAAUGGACGGAAGUCUGAACCAGCCAUGCCGCGUGCAGGAAGACGGCCCUAUGGGUUGUAAACUGCUUUUGCAGGGGAAUAAACCUCAUUACGUGUAAUGAGCUGAAUGUACUCUGAGAAUAAGGAUCGGCUAACUCCGUGCCAGCCGCCGCCGUAA